GAUGAACGCUGGCGGCAUGCCUUACACAUGCAAGUCGAACGGUAACAGGUCUUCGGAUGCUGACGAGUGGCGAACGGGUGAGUAAUACAUCGGAACGUGCCUAGUAGUGGGGGAUAACUACUCGAAAGAGUGGCUAAUACCGCAUGAGAUCUACGGAUGAAAGCAGGGGAUCGCAAGACCUUGUGCUACUAGAGCGGCCGAUGGCAGAUUAGGUAGUUGGUGGGAUAAAAGCUUACCAAGCCGACGAUCUGUAGCUGGUCUGAGAGGACGAUCAGCCACGCUGGGACUGAGACACGGCCCAGACUCCUACGGGAGGCAGCAGUGGGGAAUUUUGGACAAUGGGCGCAAGCCUGAUCCAGCAAUGCCGCGUGCAGGAUGAAGGCCUUCGGGUUGUAAACUGCUUUUGUACGGAACGAAAAGCCCUGGGUUAAUACCCUGGGGUCAUGACGGUACCGUAAGAAUAAGCACCGGCUAACUACGUGCCAGCCGCCGCAGUAACAC
rnacentral:rRNA from 1 species